AUUUAAAUGACAUCGAUAAAUACGUUUAAAAAUAUUUCUGGGUGCCGUCGUCGGAAUUUUAAAAGUUUUUUCGAUGGUCCAGGUUUCUUUUGUUAACGCCUCAAGAAGAGAGACCCAUUUCUAAGGAAAAAAAUAUGUUUUAGGCAUCUAAUAAAAAGUACAUAUUGGUAUAUGUCAAAAAUUCCGACCCCGAGGUCAAUUAUUGUCAAAAUAAAAUACAUAUGUAUAUAUAUUAAAACAUUAAACCCUCUUAAAUUAGAGCACCCCGUUAAAAACACUUUUAGUUUAACAAAAUUUCAGACGUUUCAAGUUUAAAAUGAACAAUAAGAAAUUAAACGACAAUUCUAAGAAAAUAUUAUUUUAAUACCUUAAUAGUAUUAUAAAAUUAACUAGCAUGUUACCCGCGGCUUCGCCCGCGGUAGACGUAUACGUUAUAAAAGACGCAUAAGAUGAAAGAUUUUGGUAGCAUAUCUAUCGUCACUCUCACAAUAAACAAAAUAAAUAAGGAUGCAAGAAAAUGACCUCACUGCACCCAUCAAAAACUUUCACUAUACCUACAGGUUAUAAAAACGUUAAAUACGUAACAUUAUACAACUUACCUCUACAUCUUCUUUGGUAAACAGUCUACAAACUAUUAUAUUAUUGUCUUUAAGUAUAUAUUCAUAACCCUCAGGUAAUGCACGCAUUUUUUUUUAAUUAUUAGCACACUAAUAAACAAACACCAAUCUACUUGUACAACACCACCGUAAACUAGGUUAUUUUAUCAACAUGUUUCCCUUAAACAAUCCGAAAGAAUUCAACCUGUGCCGCGAUACAAUGACUUGUAAAUAACAGACGUAUUAGAUGGACACGUCUGCUGGAUACAAACGGUGUUCGUGCGUCCGGGACAUGUACUGUUUUUCAUCUUAUUGAAGUUUAUUAGUGAUGGGUUCGUAAAAGUGAGGUUACUUUUCUUGCGUUACAGGUGUAGAAACCGUGCGUUUUGACCUCAUUUAAGAACUGUUGAAACGGUAUUUUUAACAAAAUUAACAUGAAUAAUAGUGAUAGUGAUGAUAGCAGUGUUGAGGGCCUUCAUGGCAGCAAGAAACGCAAAAGGGAUGCGAAAACAUGGAAAAACAACAAAAGAAAAAUUGCUGCUCGUAAAGGUGAAGCAUAUAUCUCCUCAUCUGGUAAAAGAGUUGCUCCAAAAACAUUUGGACCUCCAUGCAUGUUAUGGACCCAGGCCGCCAUUGACCAGUAAUUCGCGUGUUUGUUGUGUGUUUCUAAAUAUGUCGUCGUUCAGUAUUUUAUCUACUGUGCCAAAAUUGAAAGGGAGAGAAAAUUACAGCGAUUGGACUUUCGCAGUAGGUAAGUAAUUUUCUAGUGCUAGACGAUUUGGAAGGGUGCAUAGAUGGCAAGUGCGAAGACGUGACGAAAAUCGCGAAAGCUAAGGCGAAGUUAGUGUUAUCUAUCGACGCAUCGCUUUACGUACACAUUAAAGAAGCUAAGAUGGCAAAGGAAGUGUGGGAUAACACAGCUAGCCUCAAAAGAGAGCACGGUCCCUUUAGGAACAACCUCUCAGAGAAAGUUGAGGUACCGAGAGACGCUCAAUUUUCCGGUACCACCUGCAACUGUGGAGAACUAGGUGGAACGUUUUUCGGAAGAUUACGAGUAUUUUACUUCAGCGGUAGAAGCUGAUCGCAUGCUUCUCUCCAUGAUAGCAGGUGACAAGUACUCAACAUAGUGACAACGAUUUACAACAAACAUAAAAAAAUGCAGAAAAGUUUAGUAAACCAAAGCGAUGUUUUGUUUUCUGUAGAAUCUACAGUCGUGCUGUUUGUUUCAGAUUGGAUUUACUUCAACGGACGCAAGUAAUUCAGUGUCUCCAGUCAAGAUAUCAGGUAGUCUUUCAGCUAGAACGUCGCAUAGUUUAAACCAUAUAUAACAUUUUUGGGGGGAAAAAAUGGACGGCAUCAACAAUUUAACAACAUACUAAAUAGUGUAUAUUUUAUCUUUAAUUAAAUGUCAAAUGUAUUUAUUUAACAAACAUUUCUGUUAAUUUGAACAAAUAAAAAAAAAUAUUCUAAAAAUGAACUUAAUGAAAUAU